GCACAACGCGAAGAACCUUACCCGGGUUUGAACGUAGGGAGACAGGGGUGGAAACAUCCUUUUCAGCAAUGACUGCCUACGAGGUGCUGCAUGGUUGUCGUCAGCUCGUGCCGUAAGGUGUCGGCUUAAGUGCCAUAACGAGCGCAACCCUUAUUUCCAGUUACUAACAGGUGAUGCUGAGGACUCUGGAGAGACUGCCAGCGUAAGCUGUGAGGAAGGUGGGGAUGACGUCAAAUCAGCACGGCCCUUACAUCCGGGGCGACACACGUGUUACAAUGGUAAGGACAAAGGGCAGCUACCGGGCGACCGGAUGCGAAUCUCUAAACCUUAUCUCAGUUCGGAUCGGAGUCUGCAACUCGACUCCGUGAAGCUGGAUUCGCUAGUAAUCGCGCAUCAGCCAUGGCGCGGUGAAUACGUUCCCCGGGUCUUGUACACACCG
rnacentral:rRNA from 1 species